UACAGAGGUCCCAAGCGUUACUGAGAAUCACUGGGUUUAAAGGGUGCGUAGGUGGCACGUUAAGUCAGUUGUGAAAUCCCCGGGCUCAACCCGGGAACUGCUUCUGAUACUGGCGUGCUUGAGGCCAGUAGGGGUCACUAGAACUGACGGUGGAGCGGUGAAAUGCGUAGAUAUCGUCAGGAAUGCCGGUGGUGAAGACGGGUGACUGGGCUGGUUCUGACACUGAGGCACGAAAGCCAGGGGAGCGAACGGG
rnacentral:rRNA from 1 species